UAGAAUUCUAAAGAAAAUUCUAACGGAUAUAUAAAACGCAAAAUCUCUUCUUCUUUUUAUUUUUGAAUUAUAAUACACUUUUUCAAAUACAAAAUAGGAAGUACUAUAACAAAAAACUCGACAUUACUGUACAAACUAAAAGGUAAAAGACAACAUAAAAAGAAAAAGACUCAAAACACAAAAAUAAUAAAAUAAAAAAUAAAAAAAAUCUCCUUAAGCAACUCUUGAAUAAGCGAUCCUGACUGGGUGGUCCCAGGGUGUUUGUCAUGCUCAAACUGCGGUAAGUAGAUCCACACCUGUAUGAAAAAACUGAAACCAACACUAUGUGAGACAAUAACACUCCCUACUGGACACAUGCAAGACAUGAUUGAGACUAUUUUGCAAAACAACUUAUGUGGCCAAAAGGUGCCUAGAAGUGUAAACUCGACAAAAGUGACCUCUAAGACAUGAAAAAAUUACUUUACAGAAAUGACACAUUUUAUAAAAAUGGUCUAUGUGGACAAAAAUGGCUAAGCAUGCAAAUUCAACACAAUGGAUCUUAAACAGAGAGAAAAUCUUGUUGUGGACUUAGAACUCAAAAACAUGGGCUAAUUGAACUACUUUUGGGUAAAUAACCCUAUUUUGCAAAACGGCCUAUGGGGCCAAAAGCGGCUAGACAUGCAAAUUCGACAAGGACGGACCUUAAAGUAAAGAGACACCUAAUUGUGGAUUGAAGACUCUCCUGACACAAUUAAACAAACCACUUUGCGAAAAUAGCCCUAUUUUGCAAAAUGACCGAUGUGGCCAAAAGUGGAUAGACAUGCAAGAUUUGGCUAUGACCCUCGAAGCCAAGAACCUAAGACUCACUAGAAGGACCGGACCCUAUGUAGGUUGCCUACGUAUCCCGUCCGGAAUGACGAGAAUCAGGUAUGCGUAGUUCGGGAAGAUUGGAUACGGGCGAGAAUAAAACAAACAACUAAUUUAGAGAAAAUAUAUUUUUUAUCUUUUUCUUGAAAAAUGAUGAAACAUGUAAAAUCUUUUUGGAUUUUCUUUUCUCUUUUUUUUUUGAUUUUUUUUUAAAAUGAUGGGAAAGUGCAAAAUCUUUUUGGAUUUUUUCAUUUUCAUUUUUUUUGGUCUUUUCUUGGAAAAACGUGAAAAGAAAUUAUAAUUGGGCCCUACUUGCUUUAUUUUAUACUUCACCCUCUUUUCUUUCUCAUUUAUCCUAAACCCUUAUUGGUCCGCCAAAUGACACCUUUUACCCUUGAAGAAUGUAAUAUAUAGCACAUAAGAUGCAUCAAGAUGGUCUUUUAUUUUUGGGUACACCUAUCCUAGACAGAUCCAACCCCUGUGUUGAGUCCCUAAAGUCAAAUGCACAUAAUGCAAAUAAGCGUUCCUACUAGGGAUCUGUCAUGAGACUGUGUUAUUCUAGCUUUAAAUUCUGGGUGUAUUGUUUGAGACCUGGCUUACCCGAGCGAACAACUCGAGCUGAAGAGAGCUACAUAUCAUGAACCAAAAGGCCAUCAGGCUUUGUAACUUGUCCGAACCUCAUUCAAAAUUAGGGUAUGACACUAACAGAAAAGGAGUCAUGCCAGCGUGCACUUCCUAGAAGAUUAGAAGAGAAGGGUUUCGCAACAGUUUAUAUACAGUUCAAAUAAUAUCAAAGCGAUAAAAAGCGGCAUUUAGCACAUUAGGCCCAAGCAUGUAAUAAAAAUCAGAUAAUAAAUAAAAGCCAAAUAUAACAAUUAUUCUAAGCUCGAAUUCUUGAACCCUGAACCAGAGAUCCUAGGUUCUUGUCCCCAGCAAAGUCGCUAGAGCUGUCACACCUCCUUUUUCUACCCCGAAAAGGGUAUAGGAGAGUUUUUCCAACUAAAGUGACAAUAAUCGAAACAGGAUUGUUUAUUCAAAUUCAGAGUCGCCACCCCAGUUUAAAAUCCCGAAUCAAGGAAGAUUGACUCUAUUUUACAGUCCGCAAAACAUAGAAAUUCGGGUAAGAAAUUUUGUUAACCCGGAAGAAGGUGUUAGGCAUUCCCGAGUUCCAUGGUUUUAGCAUAGUCGUUCAACUAUUAAUAUUGGCCUAAUUAUCUAAUUUAAUAUAUCUUUGAAACCUAUGUACAUUUUAUUCCUUUUAACCGCUUUUAACAUUAGAAUAAAUCACGAUUGUCAUACACUUGUUAAUUUGGUACACAUUACGAAUCGUGUUACAGGAACCGUACUCACGAUCUACAACAUAUUUAAUUUAUUAACAAAUUAGAAAUAGUGGUCUGGUCACAUAAGAUGUACCCCGAAUUUGAAAAUUAUUUAUAUUUAUCACAAAUACGUCACGGGAACCGUACAUGUAGCUAUGAUAAUUUUUAUUAUAGCGCGCCUAAAGCAAACUACGAAUGCUCAUAAUUUAUUCAACUUUUAAACCCAAACCCCCACGGUCCAAUUCAAUAUAAAAAACAGCGAGAAUAUCAAAUCUCUUUACGUUUUUAAAUCCAACAACUACUAUAAGAAACAAUUUCAAUUAAUGCUCCAAGUUCCUUUCUUACCUAACCAUAUUCAAAGCUAGAUAUUAAACAUCAAUGGAACUGAUGACAAGAACGAAAACAGAACUCAUCCUUGAUUAAGAGGAAAGAAUAUUGAAGUCAAAAAUCCCAACUCUGUACAUUUCCGGAACAAAGCCAAUUGACACCACAAUGUUAAACAAAGCUAACAAAAUAUGCACAAGAGCCAGAUUACAGUGAUACGAUAAACACCACAAUCUUAUGAGCAGAUUUAACAAAAGACUUAAUACACAAACCAAAUUUUAGUGAUUCAAUAGAUCCUUUAUCCGGUUAAAUCAACUCAAAUCUAAACCUUGCAACUCUGAAAAGUAGCCAAAAUUAAAUCAAAUUAUCCGGUUUAAAGCAGAAACUAUUAUUUAAAAUAUCCCAUAACAUCACGUAAUCGUACAGUAGUCGAAACUGAAGCAUCAAAUCAUCACAUAAGUAACGAAAUGAAACAGAGGAAGAAGAAACCGAGUAAUGAAAUUUUCAGAGAAACAAAGGAAAAAUUAUUACACAUUUCAAUGUAAUAGAGCAUCCAACGACAAUUACAGCAUUUCAAAUCGAAAGUUCAUACCUGAAACGCGAAUAAAAUCGAAAAAAUAAACCAGAACAAAGACCAAAUCACCACCGGAGCUCGAACGAAAAACCCAUCAACGAACUCGAGCUCGAGCUGAAUUUUUGUGUUCAAGUGUUGUCUUGGACUGAAAAUCACCGGAAAAUACACAAGCUACCAGAAAUAUUAGAUUCAUCCGGAUCUGAUUUGGGAUUGGAGUUUAGGUGAUGUCCAUGGCUGGUUUAAGGUUUUUGGAGCUGAUUUCGACUGCAAAUCUGGGCUAUUCUUGAUUGGUUCCUCGGUUGGAUUCCAGCUGGUUUCAGAGGUUUUUCAUUGUUGUUUAGAACUGGUUUCGAGAGAGGUUGGGGUAGUGUGUGGCUUUAGGUUGCUGGGUUUUGGGUGGGAAUCGUUGCUGAUGAUUUAGGGUGAAGAAGAAGAAGGAGCUCCGAUGAACUGGGUGGCUGGGCGAUGGGUCUGGUGUGAAGGGGUGUCGCCGGCGAUUUUGGAGAAGAUCUAGCGGCUGGAACGGGGCAGUCGACUUUUUGGUUAUCUCCUUGAAGAAGAAGACGUUCAGGUUGGGGGGGCUUGUUUUCUUCAAAAACGGUUGUUUUGUUCUUCUGUGAGUGAUGAGAUCUGCUCCUAGGUCUUAGAGUUUUUUGUAGGUUUUUUCAUGAAGAAGAAGAGUGUGCUCAAGGCUCUCCCAGGUCCAAACGGCUGAUGAUUGUUUUAGGUCUAGGGGUUGUUUUUAAGCUUCUUUCUAGGGUUUUAGGGGUAUUGGGCUUGGAUUGUUA
rnacentral:lncRNA from 1 species